CACAUCAGAUGGGAAAUGUGCCAACGUCACAACAAGAUUUGAGGGAGGCACAUCUCAUGCUCGGACAUGAACACCGGAUCAUCAUGCUUAUGAACUACAAAAGGAUCUCCAGUAUGGGCUCACGGCAGUUGGCCCUUGAAUAACAUGAAUUUGAACUGCCUGAGUCUGCUAAUAUGUGGAUUAUCUUCUGCUUCUGCCACCCCGAGACAGCAAGACCAACCCUUCCUCUUGCUUCUUUUCCUUAGCCUAUUCAACGUGAAGAUGACUAAGCAAGAAGGCCUUUGCCAGAUGUGGCUCCUUG
rnacentral:lncRNA from 1 species